AGAGUUUGAUCAUGGCUCAGAGCGAACGCUGGCGGCGUGCUUAACACAUGCAAGUCGAGUGCACGGUAGCAAUACUGGUGCACGGCGCACGGGUGCGUAACACGUGGGCAAUCUACCCUCGAGUGGGGAAUAACCCGCCGAAAGGCGGGCUAAUACCGCAUGACAUUCCUUGGACUUCGGUUCGAGGACUCAAAGCCGUAAGGCGCUUGAGGAGGAGCCCGCGGCCGAUUAGCUAGUUGGCGGGGUAACGGCCCACCAAGGCAAUGAUCGGUAGCUGGUCUGAGAGGACGGCCGGCCACACUGGAACUGAGACACGGUCCAGACUCCUACGGGAGGCAGCAGUGGGGAAUCUUGCGCAAUGGGCGAAAGCCUGACGUAGCGACGCCGCGUGGGGGACGAAGCUUCUCGGAGUGUAAACCCCUUUCGACCCGGACGAAGCCCCGCAAGGGGCGGACGGUACGGGAUGAAGAAGCCCCGGCUAACUACGUGCCAGCAGCCGCGGUAAGACGUAGGGGGCCAGCGUUGCUCGGAAUUACUGGGCGUAAAGAGUCUGUAGGCGGUGCGGCAAGUCGGGAGUGAAAUCUCAGGGCUCAACUCUGAGGCUGCUUCCGAAACUGCCGUGCUCGAGUGCGAGAGAGGUGAGUGGAAUUGCAGGUGUAGCGGUGAAAUGCGUAGAUAUCUGCAGGAACACCAGAGGCGAAGGCGGCUCACUGGAUCGCAACUGACGCUGAGAGACGAAAGCUAGGGGAGCAAACAGGAUUAGAUACCCUGGUAGUCCUAGCCCUAAACCAUCAGACUUGGCGUGGGUCCCGUUCGGGGCCCGUGUCGGAGCUAACGCGUGAAGUCCUGCGCCUGGGGAGUACGGUCGCAAGGCUGAACUCAAAAGGAAUUGACGGGGGCCCGCACAGCGGUGGAACAUGGUGGUUCAAUUCGACGCAACGCGAAGAACC
rnacentral:rRNA from 1 species